rnacentral:tRNA from 1 species
GAGGGUGUAGCUCAGUGGUAGAGCACAUGCUUUCAUGCAUGAGGUCCUGGGUUCGAUACCUAGUACCUCCA